AGACCGAUAGCGAACAAGUACCGUGAGGGAAAGAUGAAAAGCACUUUGAAAAGAGGGUCAAAAAGUACGUGAAAUUGCUGAAAGGGAACCGUAUGAAAUCAGCUUGUCUCUUUGGUAAUCAACCUGGACCUCGGUCUGGGUGCACUUGCCAGUGAGUACAGCCUGCGACAAUUCGGCGCGAAGGAAAAAAUCGGGGGGAAUGUGGCCUCAGCUUCGGUUGUGGUGUUAUAGCCCUUUGAAAAAUACUUUGCUCUGGAUUGAGGACUGCAGCGAGCCAUUUGGGAUAGACUGUGGGCGCUUUGUUUGGACUGGGAGGAAAUUUCUAUCUCUGGUAGUGUUCUUUCAGUUUGAGCAAACUCGCCUACUUUUCUUUUUUCUCGCUUAGGUCGUAGGCAUAAUGAUUUUAUAUGUCCCGUCUUGAAACACGGACCAAG
rnacentral:rRNA from 1 species